CUGGGAUCAAGAAUAAUCUCAUCUGGGGUGGCCAGCCACUCUGGACUCACGGUUUCCAGGGUCUUCUGAGUAUAUACAACCAUCCUCCAGACUGCAAAAAACACGAUAUUUACUCUGACAAAGCCACAAGAGCCCCAGGUUUAUGUCCAUGAAAGAUCAGACAGAAUCCAGAGCAGCGACUCAUCAGUGGUGACUGACAACCUGAUGUGCAACUAAUGUAUGCAGAGUCUUGCUAUGUUGCCCAGACUGAUCUUGGACCCCUGAUCUCAAGCGAUCCUCCCACCUUGGCCUUCCAAAGUGCUGGUAUUAUAGGCAUGAGCCACUACACUUGGACCCAAACAGGUAUCUGUUAAACUGGCUUUACCUUCAUUCACCUUUUGAGCCUGAGAGUGAAAGGAGA
rnacentral:lncRNA from 1 species